UGGGGUGUCGUCUAAUGGUAGGACGCUUGGUUUUGGUCCAAGUAGUUAGGGUUCAAGUCCUUACACCCCAACCA
rnacentral:tRNA from 1 species